GAUGGAAAUUCUGAUGAGUGUUUUGCGAUUAAUAUAAUGUAAAUAGUUGUAGUACACUUUAAUGUUGUAUACCUUUCUCAAGAGCAGCCCCAUAAAGGGAAAUUGUUUCGUUUCCACGCAGCUGUUGCCUACUGUGCCAUUCAUCUUCGAAAAUUGUUGGAUAGUUUCGAAUAACCUCAACUUUAGAUCGAGUAUCAUAUUUCAGGAGAAAGACAAGGAUUAGUAGAACUAGAGUAGAUUAUCAACUACAGUCUAGGAAAGCAUAAGUUGGACUGUUAAAUCAUCACAUUGUGGCCCUAAAGCUUUAUAAUUUAUGUUCACAAAUUUACUAAGAAGGGACAGACUAUUAAGGUAAUAAUUGAAUGUAUGUUUUUUUCUGUUAGCAAUAAUCUAGUGAAUUUGUAUUUGGAUGAUGAUUCAGAUGUAUACGCUAUAUUGAUGCUGAUUUGUGAUAUCUACUUGCCCUCACUGAAAAAAUAAACAAAUUUUAAUUACUAUUUAACUUUGUAGUAAUCUGCUGAUUCUGUUAAUUUAU